GACAGACCUCCCAGGAACAAGAAGGUACUUCAGGAAAUGGUAUUUCUGAUUCAGUAGGUGGCCUCUCCUCUCUGGGUCCCUGUGAAUAGAUGCCCGGCGUGGUGUUAGGGCCACCACGCUGCCCUGUGCUGUUUACCUUUCCGAAGAAACCCAAAACCACAGACCUAACCAUUUGUGGUCACCAGAGAUCUUAUGGCAGACUUUCUAAGGGCAGUUGUGUUAACUCCAGAAUCCUGGCCCGAGUCCAACUAAAGUAAUUACAUUCUGCUCCCAUCAAGCUCCCCCUGCAGUUUCCAUUGAAUCUGAUAGUCUGGACCCUCCAUCUAGCAGCCUGGCCGGCAUGGUGGUGGUUUGCAUUCCACAGAGGAGAGGCAGCCUGUAAGUCAGCGCUGGAAGAAAUGAACGCUCCAUUCUCACCAGGCUGUGUAUGCUGGGCAACACGAAGAGGGCAUCCUAGAGACGGAUAAGAAGUAAAUGGCUUUAUCAACAAGGCAAUACCCUACCAGAACAUGAAGACUGGUCUCCUCAGUUCCUCGGCUGUACAGCUGUAUUGUCCUGAUGGUGGACGCUAAACCUGUGCUCGGACUAAAGAAAGUAACCCACUAAAGCAAAAGAUGUGUGAGAGAUUUUAAUGCUGCUGGAUGUAAUUUGGGGAUUCUGUAGAUACAUGUACUUGCCACCAAGCCUGAGGGAUUCAGCUCCAUAACCAGAAGGCACAUGGUAAGAGGAGAGCAGUGACUUCCACAAGUUGUCCUCUGACCUACACAUGCAUGCAAUGACAAGAACAAGAGCCCC
rnacentral:lncRNA from 1 species